CCUACGGGAGGCUGCAGUCGAGAAUCAUUCACAAUGGGGGAAACCCUGAUGGUGCGACGCCGCGUGGGGGAAUGAAGGUCUUCGGAUUGUAAACCCCUGUCAUGUGGGAGCAAAUUAAAAAGAUAGUACCACAAGAGGAAGAGACGGCUAACUCUGUGCCAGCAGCCGCGGUAAUACAGAGGUCUCAAGCGUUGUUCGGAAUCACUGGGCGUAAAGCGUGCGUAGGCUGUUUCGUAAGUCGUGUGUGAAAGGCGCGGGCUCAACCCGCGGACGGCACAUGAUACUGCGAGACUAGAGUAAGGGAGGGGGAACCGGAAUUCUCGGUGUAGUAGUGAAAUGCGUAGAUAUCGAGAGGAACACUCGUGGCGAAGGCGGGUUCCUGGACAUUAACUGACGCUGAGGCACGAAGGCCAGGGGAGCGAAAGGGAUUAGAUACCCUUGUAGUC
rnacentral:rRNA from 1 species